rnacentral:lncRNA from 1 species
UCUGCUCUCUCUGGGUCAGGUCUGUUCAGGUUCUGGUUGGUGUUGGGUCUAGUCCUGUAAGGCCCAGCUCUGGCCUGCAGCCUCCUGGUGCUGGAGCUGCGUCUCCAAGAAGUACACAGCACUCAUCUCUCUGGGACCUCCUGGUCUGGAAGCUCUGUGGCCUCAUGGGGUUGGGACAGCCACCGUGUCGCCCCCUCACCCGCCAGCUGCAGCCUUAGGAGAGGUGGCCUCCUGGGCGGAAUUGGGGCGGCAGGACAGGUGCCAUUCCUUCCCCUGCUGGACCAGGUUCCUGGCGUGGCGUUGGUCUAGCAGCUGUGGCCAUGGGCUUCCUCCUGUGGGUGUAAGAGCUCUGCGUGUGGUCAGCUGGGCCCCACGGGAUUGAUUUUUCCUUGAUGCUGAGUCCCAUCAUCCAGUUGCCCCUGGGUUGUUUCUUUAGAAACCUGUCUUUAGUAUUUGGAGAUGACGAUAGCCAGCAAAGAAAGUUGAGUUUGAGACAGGUGAGGGUUGUUUACUUUUCUGGAAGCAGGUUUGCUGAGGUGUAGUCGUCACAGCACAAGCUCCGUGUGUUUCAGGGGGUGGCUUUUGGCAUAUUCAGCAGCUUUGGAAACCCCGUGCGUGCCUAGAGGAAACCCCGUGCGUGCCUGUUCCUCGGUCGCUCCCUGCUUCCCGCCUCCCCAGCCCCUGGCGACCGUUGAGUGGCUUUCUGUGUCUGGGUCUUCCCAUUCAGGAUAUUCUGUAGGAACUGGCUCACCUGGCUUCUCACCCUGAGCAUGGUUUCCAGGGUCAUCCCAGCCGCUGUGUGUGCCAAGCCAGUCAUCCCUCUUGAUGGCCAAAUACUGUUCCAUUGUACGGAUAGAUCAUGUGUGUGUCCAUCCACCAGGGCUGGGAAAUUCGGGUCCUGAGACCGUGACCUGAGCCCGUGGUCACUGGUGGCCUUCCUGUGAUGUGGAAGUGCGAGGAAUUCUGGGCCCCGCCUGUGUGGUUCUGCCUGGGCGGUUCUGCCUGGGCCUGGACUUUGCCGUUUCCUUGUAGGGCCCAGGGCCCUCCCGGGGAGAUGGACUGAGCUGUCCUGGUCUGAGUCCCUGCAGUCCCUCAUUGCUCAGCUGAACUGAAUUUUUUUUUUUUUUUUGAGACGGAGUUUCUUGUCGCCCAGGCUGGAGUGCAGUGGCAUGAUCUUGGCUCACUGCAAGCUCCGCCUCCCGGGUUCACACCAUUCUCCUGUCUCAGCCUCCCAAGUAGCUGGGACUACAGGCACCCGCCACCACGCCCGACUAAUUUUUUGUAUUUUUAGUAGAGUCGGG